GCACGGGCGUGCCGCGUGCGGCUGCAUCGACGAGCAACAGAGGCGAAUGGCGCCAUUGCUGCAUCAUGCUCUCUGCAGUUCGUCGUCAGAAGCUAGCAGCCACCGCCUCGAUCGUGCAUAUGAAAGCAGAGAAGCAGGUAGUCCAUGUCUUCACAGACAUGUCUAUUUCAUCGAGUCUCUCCGGUUGAUCCUUGAGCUCUCUCUACAUAUACUCUAAGAAGUUGAUUUUUUGGGACGGAGGGUGUACAUGAGAAAAGGAAGCCAUGUUGCCCUCAACGUGCAAGGUGUUGGCAAUGGCGAAAACUGAGCAAAUUGCUUCAAGAAGUGGUUGCAUUUGCUGGUGAGGUGCAUCAACAAGGUGGCCUCACUCAUCAAGCCAUCACCUCUGUCAUGUACAUCGUAGUGGAGCAGAAGGUGACUAUUGUGAUUGUCAUACAUAUUGCAUUCACGGCCUGCAUAUGAGGAAGAUGAAAUUGAGGAUAAACUGCAUAAUUUCAAUAUUCUUCAGAUUUUCCCUGUAUUAGCUAAUAGUAAUUAACGAUUCGGAUCUAUUGUCCUCUACAGCGACACGAAAAAAAUCACAUGAACAUCAAAAGAUGUCGACUGAUGAUUGGUAAAUGAUGACACUCCUACCCUCUUUAAAGAAAAGUCAAAAACAAAUCAUCACAUUAGUUAGUUUUUCAUUUAAUAUGUCGGGAUCCUAUCUCUCAAUGUGUAAAGUGUUAUAUACUCACUAUAGUAUUUCCAAAAAAUUCAAAAAUAGUGUUAUUUGUACGUCUUUACGGAUAUGGGGUGUGGGUGGUAGGAAGUGACUAGAAG